rnacentral:rRNA from 1 species
AGUGAACGCUGGCGGUAGGCCUAACACAUGCAAGUCGAACGGCAGCACAGAGGAGCUUGCUCCUUGGGUGGCGAGUGGCGGACGGGUGAGGAAUACAUCGGAAUCUACUCUGUCGUGGGGGAUAACGUAGGGAAACUUACGCAAAUACCGCCUACGACCUACGGGUGAAAGCAGGGGACCUUCGGGCCUUGCUCGAUUGAAUGAGCCGAUGUCGGAUUAGCUAGUUGGCGGGGUAAAGGCCCACCAAGGCGACGAUCCGUAGCUGGUCUGAGAGGAUGAUCAGCCACACUGGAACUGAGACACGGUCCAGACUCCUACGGGAGGCAGCAGUGGGGAAUAUUGGACAAUGGGCGCAAGCCUGAUCCAGCCAUACCGCGUGGGUGAAGAAGGCCUUCGGGCUGUAAAGCCCUUUUGUUGGGAAAGAAAUCCAGCUGGCUAAUACCCGGUUGGGAUGACGGUACCCAAAGAAUAAGCACCGGCUAACUUCGUGCCAGCAGCCGCCGUAA